AUGCAAGUCGAGGGGUAUAGUUCUUCGGAGCUAGAGACCGGCGCACGGGUGCGUAACGCGUAUGCAAUCUACCUUUUACAGAGGGAUAGCCCAGAGAAAUUUGGAUUAAUACCUCAUAGUAUGUGAGAAUCGCAUGGUUUUCACAUUAAAGUCACAACGGUAAAAGAUGAGCAUGCGUCCCAUUAGCUUGUUGGUAAGGUAACGGCUUACCAAGGCAACGAUGGGUAGGGGUCCUGAGAGGGAGAUCCCCCACACUGGUACUGAGACACGGACCAGACUCCUACGGGAGGCAGCAGUGAGGAAUAUUGGACAAUGGGCGCAAGCCUGAUCCAGCCAUGCCGCGUGCAGGAUGACGGUCCUAUGGAUUGUAAACUGCUUUUGUACAGGAAGAAACACUCCCUCGUGAGGGAGCUUGACGGUACUGUAAGAAUAAGGAUCGGCUAACUCCGUGCCAGCAGCCGCGGUAAUACGGAGGAUCCAAGCGUUAUCCGGAAUCAUUGGGUUUAAAGGGUCCGUAGGCGGUUUAAUAAGUCAGUGGUGAAAGCCCAUCGCUCAACGGUGGAACGGCCAUUGAUACUGUUAAACUUGAAUUAUUAGGAAGUAACUAGAAUAUGUAGUGUAGCGGUGAAAUGCUUAGAGAUUACAUGGAAUACCAAUUGCGAAGGCAGGUUACCACUAAUGGAUUGACGCUGAUGGACGAAAGCGUGGGUAGCGAACAGGAUUAGAUACCCUGGUAGUCCACGCCGUAAACGAUGGAUACUAGCUGUUGGGAGCAAUCUCAGUGGCUAAGCGAAAGUGAUAAGUAUCCCACCUGGGGAGUACGUUCGCAAGAAUGAAACUCAAAGGAAUUGACGGGGGCCCGCACAAGCGGUGGAGCAUGUGGUUUAAUUCGAUGAUACGCGAGGAACCUUACCCAGGCUUAAAUGUAGUUUGACCGAUUUGGAAACAGAUCUUU
rnacentral:rRNA from 1 species